CAAUGGAGCCGGGAUUUCAGGCAUCUCGGUGUACAACAGGACGCUGUCCUUGAGCAGCCGGGUCACUCAGUAGUGAGUCACACGUGACGGCUACAGACGGCGCCGCUAGAAAGCGACCGUCCGCGCCGAUGUCAGAAUUGCAACUGAGGUGGUUAGUGUAGGUGGAGUCGCUUGUAUGUGGGUGUAGGAGAGCGUGUCGACAACGCGGCCUGUGCGUCGCCGGCGCUGCCUGCAGUGAGGGGACAGGCGGAGGCCGAGCCCUCGCCCGCAGCGCGCCCCACUGACACUCAC